rnacentral:tRNA from 1 species
GCCUGGGUGGCUCAGUCGGUUAAGCGCCUGACUUCAGCUCAGGUCAUGAUCUCGUGGUGAGUUCGAGCCCCGCAUCAGGUU